UGAGAUUCUUAACAAAUAUUAUGGCGAGACUGAAUCCGCAAUUCGGAAAAUAUUUAAACGUGCAAGGGAAUGUUCUCCAUGCAUACUGUUCUUCGAUGAGAUAGAUGCUCUCACAAUAAAGCGUGGAAUCGUAGGGGGAUCUCAGCAUCUUGAGCGAGUUCUGACUCAGCUUUUGGUAGAGCUAGAUGGUGCUGAGAAACGAAAGGGUGUUUACGUAAUUGGUGCCACCAACAGGCCUGAGAUGAUGGAUUAAGCACUCUUAAGACCCGGAAGAUUUGGGAAACUUUUGUAUGUUCCAUUGCCAAAUCAAGAUGAACGUGGGUUGAUCUUGAAAGCUCUUGCUAGAAAGAAGCCAAUAGAUGAUGAUGUUGACUUGAUUGCUAUUGGUCGGAGUGAGGCUUGUGCAAAUUUAAGUGGAGCCGAUCUUUCUGCAUUGAUGAACGAAGCUGCUAUUGUUGCUGUUGAGGAGAGAUUUAUUGAAAUUGAAGCUGCUAAACGUAAUGAACCAGAACCAGAAAGCUCUUCAGAUAGCUUGCCACAUACUAUUAAAACUAGACAUUUUGAGCAAGUAUUGGGAAAAAUCUCCCCUUCUGUCUCAGAUGAGCAAAAAGAGCAUUACCAUCAACUGUCAAAGAGGCUUAGAGCAUCGUGAAUAUAUUUAUCAGAUUCAGAGUUAUUGCCAACAAAGAGUGGCAUCCAGUUUUGUUCGUUAGGAAUUCAGAUAUAGAAUUUUAGCGAUUAGUUUUGAUGAUUGAUAUUAAGUCUAGGUGUCGUGUUGGGUGAUUAAAUUAGUAAAUUUUGUGUAGAACAGCUUAAAUGGUGUUGCAGUAAUUAACUUCAUCUCUUGGUAUAUAAAAUAUUCGGGUGUUUUUGC